AUACGGAGGAUCCAAGCGUUAUCCGGAUUUAUUGGGUUUAAAGGGUGCGCAGGCGGAAGAUUAAGUCGGCGGUGAAAUUUUGCAGCUUAACUGUAAAAGUGCCAUCGAUACUGGUUUCCUUGAGGGUGGAUGAAGUAGGCGGAAUUUGUGGUGUAGCGGUGAAAUGCAUAGAUAUCACGAGGAACUCCGAUUGCGCAGGCAGCUUACUAGGCCAUAACUGACGCUCAGGCACGAAGGCGUGGGGAUCAAACAGGAUUAGAUACCCUGGUAGUCCACGCAGUAAACGAUGAUUACUCGCUGUUUGCGAUACACAGUAAGCGGCUUAGCGAAAGCGUUAAGUAAUCCACCUGGGGAGUACGUUCGCAAGAAUGAAACUCAAAUGAAUUGGCGGGG
rnacentral:rRNA from 1 species